rnacentral:rRNA from 1 species
CGGCGGACGGGUGAGUAACGCGUGGGUAACCUGCCUCAUACAGGGGGAUAACAGUUAGAAAUGACUGCUAAUACCGCAUAAGACCACAGCACCGCAUGGUGCGGGGGUAAAAACUCCGGUGGUAUGAGAUGGACCCGCGUCUGAUUAGCUGGUUGGUAAGGUAACGGCUACCAAGGCGACGAUCAGUAGCCGACCUGAGAGGGUGACCGGCCACAUUGGGACUGAGACACGGCCCAA